UACGUAGGGGGGCUAGCGUUGUCCGGAAUCAUUGGGCGUAAAGCGCGUGUAGGCGGCCCGGUAAGUCCGCUGUGAAAGUCGGGGGCUCAACCCUCGAAUGCCGGUGGAUACUGUCGGGCUAGGGUACGGAAGAGGCGAGUGGAAUUCCUGGUGUAGCGGUGAAAUGCGCAGAUAUCAGGAGGAACACCGAUUGCGAAGGCAGCUCGCUGGGACGUUACUGACGCUGAGACGCGAAAGCGUGGGGGAGCAAACAGG
rnacentral:rRNA from 1 species